GGGCGGUUAGCUCAGUCUGGAUAGAGCGCCGUGUGUGGUGGAAGGUUGAGAGUUCGAUUCUCUCAGGAUGAUUCUUAGCUUAACGGGAGAGCACCACAAGCGGAGGUCAACGGUUCAAAUCCGUUACCGUCCA
rnacentral:tRNA from 1 species